AACGUAGGACGCGAGCGUUAUCCGGAGUUACUGGGCGUAAAGCGCGGGCAGGCGGUCUGACAAGUCUGAUGUGAAAUCUCCGGGCUUAACCGGGAGAGGCCAUUGGAAACUGACAGGCUGGAGGGCAGUAGAGGUAGGCGGAAUUCCGGGUGGAGUGGUGAAAUGCGUAGAGAUCCGGAGGAACACCAGAGGCGAAGGCGGCCUACUGGGCUGCACCUGACGCUGAGACGCGAAAGCCAGGGGAGCGAACGGG
rnacentral:rRNA from 1 species